GCGGGUGUGGCGGAAUUGGCAGACGCACUAGAUUUAGGUUCUAGCGUCGAAAGACGUGGGGGUUCAAAUCCCUUCACCCGCACCA
rnacentral:tRNA from 4 species